UCUCCCUCACGGCCGACCCCAGGAAGAGCGAGGGCGCCGCGGGGUCCACGUCGACCGCGACCCAACUCACCGUUCGGUGCGCCUCAGGGGGCGCGGGCUGCGUGAACCGAGAGUCCGGGAAGCGCGUCGCGCUGCGCAGCCAGGGCCGCGCCGCCGCCUUUUAAACCAGCGGCCGCGCAUGCGCACAGCGUGCCUCCGCCCGAAGCGCGGGAACCGCGGCGCUGCCCGUGGGCCGGCGCCGCCCGCGCGUGUGGGACGCGGCGAGGUCUCAGGCCUCGGCUCCUACGGGAGAGGGGAGGAGUGGCCGGGCGCGGCCCGAGGCGGAGAGGGACUGAAGCGGGGGAGCCGGUAGGUCUGAAGGGACGCGGCGCGGGCCGGGCUGUGGCCUCGGCCUGGCACUUGGGGGCCGCGACCUCGGGACCGUACCCAGGCCCUCGGGCGGGGGAAGCCUCGGUCACAGCUUCGCGAGAGGACGAGGGCGGCGCCGCGCCGCAGCCGGGGCCUGGGGCGGCCGGGCGAGGGCUCGCCCCCGGGCCGCGUCCCGCCCUCGGGAGGUUUCCGUGAGACAGUGCGCAGCCGGGCUCGGGGCCUUUCAGUGUCG
rnacentral:lncRNA from 1 species